CAUUGGCUCCAUUCCCACUGUGACUCGUCAAUCGUCAUCGACCCAGAAAUCACUGAGGAAAGAAGCUAUUCUCUCUCGCUCUCUUCUCUUCUCCCUCACACUAUGCUGCUCCGGUAUCUUCCCUUCUCUAUUUCACUAUCUCUCACUCUAUAUAUCUCCCGCCCAACGCAAGGUCCGCAUAAGGGAAGAGGCAAGUCGUCUUCCAUAGAGCUCCUCCAUCGCUGCGUCUUGAAGAACCUUCUCGAACGGCCCCAAGCUAACGCCUGAAGCCUCUCAAUUUCAAACCCAUCAAGGAUCGCCUGAAGCUUCUCAUCUCUUCCCUUCGACGGUGGUUUCUUCUAAUCUUCAAACUCAAGGUCAUCUCUGAUGCAGCCUCGUCAAAGGCCUGGUUUGUGAGUUAUUGAAUUUCUCAAAUUUAACCUAGUUCUCUAGCCUCUGAAGAUUUGCCUGCUACAAGAUUCCAAUCGCUGCUGUCACGGUAUGAGUUAUCCUUCUCUGAACUCAAAUAUCUAAAGUAUGCGAAGCCCUAAAAUAUGGGGAUUUCGGGAUAGGCUUACGAUUUAGGGCUUGUCUAGGGUUUUUAUCUGAAGCUCUGUCUCCUUUCUCUAAUCUACAUUUGAUUUAGGGCUUGUCUGAUUUGUGGUCUUGAUUUCUGUUCUCACCCUUGAACUGCAAGCUUUUCACCCUUGAAUUCCAUUUUUCUAAAUGCAUGCAAGGGCUGUUAAGGAGAAAAUUAUUUUCAUGAUUUUACCACCUUUACUGAAUGAAGUUCUUGAAACAGAAGGGGGUGACUGGUUUCCUGCAGAAAAAAAUUGGGUGGGGGUACAUUUUACUCUUAACUUUUGCAGGAAAUUUAUAUAUGUUGAUCUUCAAAGUGUUACAGAGAACAUCCAGAUGAUGUUGUGAUUUAUUUUAUAGUGAUAACUGAACAUACCUAUAGCUUUGACAAAGGGAAGAGUUGUAUAUGAAUUAGAACCCCUCUAGCCUCUUGGCUUUCUCUGUUGUAGCAUCCCCUAGUGCCCUCUUCCCUGCAGGUAUGGUUAAGCAAUACAAAUAACCACCAGGUUGACAGCCAAUGUUAUAGGAAGCAUGGGCUUUAGGCUUCAUCAUAACCUUAUGGAAGCAACAGAACUUAGAGUGUCAAUGUUCAUGAGGAAUUUUUUUUUUGGGUGAAUGUUCAUGAGGAUUUUCAGACCUCAGUUAUCCUCAAAAUCUGCAAGUUAGUUGCAGAGGUACUUUUAAGAAUCUUGAACCUAGGGUGAGGGAUUUGCCCCUGGUUUUUGUCGUUCAUCCUCUUUAAUAUUUUUAUUAAUUAUGAUUCUAGAAAUUUGCUGGAACUUUUUUUUGAUACCUCUGUCACUUUUUUAUUGUUUCUGUUUCUACAUUUGUUUUCUGUUUGCAUGUGCUCACUGCUGGCCCAUGUUUUUUUUUCCUAUGGAUUUGGUGGCUUUUAAAAAAGGGAAAAAGGUACUUUCUGUGGAAAUAAUUUCUGGUUAUGUCAUUGGUGAUUUGGAAGGAUUGGUCUUCAAUCUGCAUGAUUUGCACAUCUUUCCUAUGGUCCUUGGUGAGGUGUAAAGGCCAUAUAUGCCCUCAUGAAGGGAGGAUGCAAAGGAGGUCAAGUUUAGGGAGGAGUUUGAGGGGGCGGUGCUUGAGAGACACUCAGCACCAGGGGGGUUGCAUAUGAUAGUGAUAAGGAUACGCCUGCUGAUGUGGAGACAGAAGCAGAAGCGAGAGAGACACUGCAUGCUAAGGCAGCCAACAUAGUUGCACAUUGGCAGGAGUAGGAUAAAGGCAGGGAGUUCAAGGAGCUGGUUCUUCAAGCAUACUGUGACAUGGCUAUCUUUGUGAUACAAUCAGAGGAAUGGUUCCAUUGGCGGCAACAAUCUUCUAGUGGUUUUGAGUCUCCUCGAAAAUCUAUGUGGUUGGGAUGCCUGUGAAGUUGAGGGACUUUGUCUUAACCAGCCAUAGUGGUGAAGAGGUGACAUAAUCUGAAGUUUUAAUGGAUAAUCAUAUAUACCUAUUGGAUAUGUUUCAUGCCCCAUAGAAACAGUAGGCCCUAAGGUGAGUUGAACUCUUGACCUCUUUAUUGUGAGGAGUUGGUCUUCGACAACUGAGCUAUCCCUCUUGGGGUUCAUGAGAAAAUACUGCACAUUGCUUUUCAAAACAAAUUCUGUCAAAGGACCAGGAGAGGUAAGUACUGGAUUCAAAUAUCUUUUUAAUCUUUUUUCCCUUCCAUUUUAUUUUAAAUAAAAUCUUUUGAUGUAUAGAACGAGAUUUUUUUAUACUCACCUUGGAUCAUAGAUAUUAAAAGGUACCUGGCUACUUAUGCUCCAAUUUUUUUGUUCCCAGAAAACAGUUCUAAUAUGCGGCUGCAGGCAGUUAAUUGCAUCAUUCGUACAAUUUCGAUGGGAAGUACUCAACCAAACCAAACCUAACCUCUCGUCCCAGCUCCUAUAGUAUGAAAGGUUCAACGAGUCAUUUGUAUAUUAUUGAGGGUUGUGCAUCAUCUGCUGUUCCACCUAACUCUUAUGAACCUGGGGCAGAAUGUGCUCAAAUUUCUUCCUUAGGGUGUGAUGCAUUGGAUGUGAAAUUAGGGUGUUAUAAAUAGGAAAGUAAAGUAGGAUUGACUGCAGGCAAUGUGAGGGGUUUCUAUGAUGAGUCUCUUUUGUCUUGGCCCUUAGAACUCAUCUUUUGGUCACCUGAAAGCAAACUUUUUUCAUGUGGGCACAUCCCUCAUUGCAUAUUGUUUUGUCCAUUCAAACAGUGAGCCAAUGAACCUUAUAGGACCAUUAGCUGCAUUUCAGCGGAAGAAUCCGCCUACUAAUUAUGUGGUGUAGAUUUGCAUAUAUUACCAAAAGCAAAUGAAUCAUGUUAGUCAAGGAAUUGUAGAUUUUCAUGGUUUUUAAGGUUGUUCAUGAUUCUUUCCCAUUUUCUCUAUACAGGUGAUAGCUGCAAUAACUUAUCAGAUAAUUCCCGGAACGAGGUUUAGUGCUAUUUGUGAUUUCCAUUUAUCCCACGUGUUUGGAAUGGUUAUUCUUUGUUCAAAUUUUCUGCUAUAAUAGCCAUCUUCUAUUGAGAUUUGUUUAUGUCGCUGCUAGAUUUUUAUAUGGUCAAUCAAAGAGAUGCUCUUUUUGUUUCAAACUUCCAUUUUGAAUUUUAAACUCGAAUUGAUGUUUUUGAACAAAAUUUUGCCAACGAUGCAAGAGAGGUAAUAAGGGAUAAAAGGUUAAAAAGAGAUCUCUUUAAAGCAAGAUAUUCAAAUGCUCAUGUACAACAUUUGAACUGAGACCUGGAUGGUUCUAGAUUCUCUUCAUGUUACCUUAGUUUCCAUUAAACAGUGAAUUUCCAUUUUUGAAAUGCACAGAUAAGGUUGUUCUGAUGUAUGCAUUUGAUAGGAUUAGUGUAUCAUAGAAUACAUUUAUUUUUAUAUAGGCAUCCUUUUUGCUCUGCUUCUCAAUGUGUAUUCUACUCUAGGGAAAAUUCAGAUACAUUUGACGUUCUAUCUCCCAAGACUUUUGAUUGAUGUAAGUGAUUUUCAGGGGAUUGGUUGCCUUCUGCAUGCAGAGUUGAGAAAGAGACUGCAAGAUGCUGGUAUUUGUACAAUAUUAUGUUGGGAGGACAAGGAAUCGGAGGGAUUUUGUCAUAAACAGUUGCAAAAGUGGAUAGCUCGGGUAGAGUUUGCAAACUACCAAUUUAAGCUGACAUCCGGAGGAAAUUAUGAUUUCAUGGUGGUUCCACCCUCGUGGUUUCUCAUCUUAACAAGGAUUUCAGGCUUUUCAGCCUUUAAGCCACUCCUUUGAGUCAAUUUGAGUUUUGCUUACCAUUAAGGGCUCACAGAAAUUCACCUUCAUCUGUUCCUGCUAAAGUUCAAGAACUGGUGGGUGGGGUCAAUUCUUUAAAAGAAGCAUCCAGGGUGAAUCAAAUCAUUACCUAGUCUGAAAGUCCUGAACAUGUAAACUCAUAGAAUGAUGGAUGCUCAGAUGAUGAAGACUUGAAUGGUACGUAGAGUGACCAGAGUCUACCUAUUCUUUAUUGUGGUUUCUUUUAUUUCUAACUGACUAUUUUGACGAGGUAUCAUUGACAAGGCAUCUAUAUUAUGACAAGGUAUCAUUAACAUUUUUUUAUUAAUUCCUAUAAGCAAGUAUUCCUGUUUUUCUUUAAUGAAGUGGUAGUCAGCUUCACUAUUUUUGGCAGGUUCUCACCCUAGAGGCCUAGACAUGAUUUCAUAGAGAGUUGCAAAGACUUUGUUCCUUUAAAAGGGGUGGAUUGCAAAGCCAUUGAAGUCUAGUUCAGGAGUAGCGGAAAGUGGAGAUGGUGCUUAUAUAAAAAAAUAGUUCCUGCUAUGGACGAGGUGCAAGAGAGAUUGGAAAGUUUCCUUGUCAUCAUUAAAGUCAAAAAAGAUAAAGGGUAGCCAUUAGAGUCUAACUGGAAUCUCAUUUGUGAAGAAGAUCCAGGAAAUGAUUUUUCUAUUAAUGGUUGCUCCAUGGCUGCUUCUAGAGGUAAGCUUUUAAUGGAGGUUAAUACCAUCCAGCCACAGGUUCCACAGAGCUCAGUGCCAAAGAGAGUACCAUUUGGUCCAUUUCAUAUUAUGCCAAAUGAAGAUCGUAUCUGCAAGGAACUUUCUUCAAAAGUAAAUUUCCCUUGGAUCCUACUAAUGAAUAUGGCUGAUGAUGUAAAAAAAGAACGUCUAACCAAGAUGAUUGAUGACCUUGAUGGCGUUGUUACCUCCGACGGAAGUGUUAGCACUCAUAUUAUCACAGGAAAAGUGAGAAGAACUAGAAAUCUCUGCAUUGCUCUUUGUUCAGGGUGGGUUACUGGAAUUCUCCAUUGCAAGUCAUUGAAACUUUUCUUGCUUGAGCUGGUUUUGCAAAAUUUUCGGCUCCUUUAGCAAUCACGGUAUAAUUUUGGUGCUUCUUAAUGAACCAUUAUGAGAUCACCUCAAACAUUAUUGUUGAGCUUGACAUAGUUGUCAAGGUGUAAGGCGACCCAAGGCUAUGGAGAUUGGUAGAAAAUCAAGGCGACGCCUAGGAGACCAAGGCACCAGUCCAGGCUGAGCUGCCUGGAUGCGCAUUGACAACUAUGGAGCUUGAUCUAGUGUGCAACUUUCAUUUUGUAAUAUUCACCGGCAUAGAAGGAAAAUGUUAUCUGUGCUAAUAAGUACCAAGAUGAUCCGGAGAAGUUCUAUAACAACCACCUUUUGGAGAGUGAGAUGUACAUAGGUGGUCAUGUGAAAUGCCUUGAAAGUGGUGUUAUUAGAUCUGAUCUUCCGACUAAGUUUCGACUUGAUCCAUCUGCAUAUGAGGUGAUUUGUCUUCCUUUAUUCAUUUCCAUAUGUGUGGAAGUGUAUGAUGACUUUCACAGAAUUCGCUAAGUAGCUUGAUUGACAUCAGUGAACACCUUUCCGUCCUCAGAAAUUAAUCAAUUACCUUCAUCGUGAAUUGCAAUAUGCAAUAAAGGUGGUAGGACAUAUGGACAUUGGAUCUGUCUCCACUUGUGAUGAAGUGGUGAAUGCUAUCAUGGAAAAUGUGUUAUCUGUUUCUGUUGUCAAGCUUUGAUGUUUUAUUAAGUACUGAUGUCUUUUCAUCUCCAACAAUUAAUCAGUAAACUUGAUCGUAAUUUGCAAUAUGCAA